rnacentral:lncRNA from 1 species
UUUUUGUUUUUUUUUUGGAGGAAGAUUAGCCCUCAGCUAACUACUGCCAGUCCUCCUCUUUUUGCUGAGGAAGCCUGGCUCGGAGCUAACAUCCGUGCCCAUCUUCCUCUAGUUUAUACGUGGGACGCCUACCACAGCAUGGCUGCCAAGCACUGCCAUGUCCGCACCCGGGAUCUGAACCAGCGAACCCUGGGCCACCGAGAAGCGGAACGUGCGAACUUAACCGCUGCGCCACCGGGCCGGACCCGUAAGGUAAAAAAUUUUGAGUUUUAAACUUUUAAUUUAGAUAUAAUGGAAAGCCAUUGGAAGUAGGGAAGUUAUAUGAUCAAAUUUUUCUUUAGAAAGAUUAUUAUGCACAACUAGAAGGACCCACAACUAAAAUGUGUAACUAUGUACUGGGGGGAUUUGGGGAGAAAAAAGCAGGAAAAAAGCGAAAAAAGAAAAGAAAGAUUAUUAUGGCUGAUGUAUGGAUGAUGAACUCUGAUGGUGGGAAGUACCAGGUGCAAAAGUUAAGAUAUUAAAACCAGUUAGAUAUUAUUUUGUGGGUAAUAUAUGUCUAUCAGUGGGAAAUGAUAAGAUUUAAGAUAUCUUUUGAGGCACAGUCAAGGGGAUAUGGUAUGAAAAGCAAAAAUAAAGAAUGAAUAAGGAAUGAAUUACUAUAUUUUUGGUCUGAGGCAACUGAUGAUGUCAUUUAUUUUGCAAGGAAAAUUUUGUGGUGAGUGCAUUGGAUGGGAAGAAGGUUUAGAACAUGUUUUGGACUCAAUAAAUUUGGUAGUAUUUAACUCCUAAGUAGAGAUACCAAAAAGAUAUUUGAGUAUGUGUCUGGAUUGUAAGGAAGAGGUAAGGGUUAGAGAUAUAAAUUUGAAAUUCAUCAACCUAGAGAUUGGUCUUAGAUCUAGAUAAAAUUUCCUAGAUAGAGGGUAUAAAAUGAGAAAAGAAUUCAGAACAAAGACCAAGAUCACAGCAAAAUUUAGAGACCUAGUCGAGGAAAAGGAACCUGAAGGAGGACAACGUGAGAAUGUAGAGCCAUGGAAGGCUAGAGGACACCAUGUUUCGUGAAGUGGAAGUGGGGAGUGUUCAACAGCGUAAAGUUUUGCUGAGAGUUCAGUAAAAUAAGGGACAAGUUUUUUUCACAACCUUUAAUCCUAGUGACCUCGAAUGCUCCCCAUAGUGCAGUGGGAUAAAAGCCCAGCUGGAGAAGGUUGAAAGAGAAUGGGAGGAGACAAAAUAGAGACAGCCUGCAUUGAUCACUCAAAGGGAGAGUUUUAAUAUGAAUGGGAAGCAAAUAAUUACUGUGGAUGAUUGGAGGAAAAUGUAGAGUCAAGAUAUUAUGACGAGGGUAAACGUGACAGUUUUAAGUCAAUGCGAUUAACUCAGUAGGGAGGGAGAAAAUGUUGAUGCAGGAGAUAUAGGAGCCAAUUUCAUGAAUAACAUUGUUGGCAAUUUGAAAGGACACCACAAACAGAGCAGCACAAAUGAAGGAUUCCAUUUAGAGGGCAAAAGGGACAUAUCCACUGUAGCAAGAGGGAAGUCAAAAUAUAUGGUGCAGGUUUAUAAAGCUGGCAAAAUAGUGGCAGUUCUCAUGUGAUUUUUCCUAAUGAAACAUGUUGCAGGGCCAUCAGCUCAAAGUUAUGACAGAGGGUCGGGAAAGAAUGAGAGAGAUUCGAGAAGAAGGAAGUUGCCAAGAGUCCUCUUUGAGAAUAAGAGAAUGAACCUACCAGGCAAGUAUUAUAGGAUUGUCUGUCAGUGUUUAAUAUCCAUUUGAGGUUUGUGGUUAUAAAUUUGAAAUGAAUCCACUCAUCAGAGUUUUUCUUUUUUUCACUCAGCAAUGUUCUGAUGCUGUACGUGGUUGCAACAUGGGUUUGUCAACCAGAACUUCUUGGGAAAAAAGAGAAAAAAGGUUAAAUAAAUUUUCAAGCAAGCGUCUUUAAAAUAUGGACUCUGAUCUGAGUAAGAAUAUGAAGACCUGAGGACAAGGCAUGAUGGAUACCAAGUCUUAGGGUUAAUGGAUUGAAAGUCUCAGUGAGUUUAGGCUCUGAGUGGGCAGUAAGUGAGCUGGAGGAAAAAGAGAAAAUAUUUAAAGAGUAGAGUGUUUGAAGCAGAUUUCACAGGCAUUGCAGGUCUAGUGAUGAUUUACGUUAGAAUCUCCUUGAGAGUGUGAUUGUAGUUGUGUGUAAAGAAUAUUACUGACGCAAAAUAAAAAUCAAGGGGUAGAGAAGCCAUGCCAUAAGAAGCCACAUACUAAGUGAUAAAGUUAUUUUUUAUGAAAAAAAAGAUGCUUUUUAAAUUAAUGAUUGCUUACCUACUUUCUACCUCAAUACAACUAAGGGAUAUAACACAACAUCAUCAUUCAUACUAUACUGAUUCUCAGAGAAGAGAUGCAUAGGGGCCACGGCCUCUCAGAAGGUUACUUUUACAAUGUUGUAAGAAACGUAAGACAUUUAACAUUUGGGCAAGUCCUUCCUCUGAACCAUUCCUAGGUAAACAGUACUAACUCCUGCUUUUGUUAUAGGAAAUUCCUUAGUGUUAUUCUAAAAUGCAUGAAAUGAUAUUCCUCUAUUAUGGAAAUUUAAGAUUGUGAGAUCUCUCCAUAGGUUAGAAAAAUACAGGAUUUACUGUCUUCCAAAUAGGCUGUCAUCAAGGUGAAUAUCACUCCAAGCAUGGACAACGAUGUUGGUGAAAUUCCAAAAUGAUAUCCAGAGUAUUUCCAUGGCUGAUUUCACAUUGAAAAUACCAUACAGAAUAUCGAUUGCUAUAUAUGUAAGCAUUUGAGCCUAAGCUUAUUUGUAUAAAGUUUAGAUUAGAUUUGAUGAGGGAGGAGAAAGGUGAUUUGCUUUAAAUAAAUGAAUAACUAUGUUUUGAUGCCAAACUAUCAUGCCAUUUUAUCCUCAUGCUUUGAAAUACCAUUCUCAUAUAUCAUCCCAAUUUUAGAGCUGAAGAAGCUGAGACUUUAAAUAGACAAAUGAUUGCUUGACAUGACAGUGAUUAAGUGAUAGACCUAGAAUUUGGACUCAUGCUUUCCGACUCUCAAACUCACUGUGCUCACCAUUAUAUGACAGAUGCCUUGCUGGCCACAAAGACUAUGGUUUCACUGUUUUAGGGUUUGGUUUGGACACUUGUAAUACUAACUGAGAAUACAGAUAAUAGAGUAGAAAUCUCAUUUUUUGUAACAGAAGAAUUUUCAGAUGUCUUAAUAAGGCUACCGAUGAGCUGGUAAGCAGGAAAAACACUGCAAUAGUAUAACUAUGCCAUAAUAUUAAUCUAAACACAAUAGAAAUGCAUUUCUGUUUUUCUUGGUUAGCUCAUAAAGAACAUGUCUAGAUUGUUGUUUUCUUUAUCCAGUCCUAGAAAGAGAAAACAUCAGCAUCCCCAGUGUACAGAUGAAAUAUCAGACUC